rnacentral:rRNA from 1 species
GAUGAACGCUGGCGGCGUGCCUAAUACAUGCAAGUCGAGCGAACGGACGAUAAGCUUGCUUCUCUGAUGUUAGCGGCGGACGGGUGAGUAACACGUGGAUAACCUACCUAUAAGACUGGGACAACUUCGGGAAACCGGAUCUAAUACCGGAUAAUAUUUUGUACCGCAUGGUUCAAAAGUAAAAGACGGUCUUGCUGUCACUUAUAGAUGGAUCCGCGCUGCAUUAGCUAGUUGGUAAGGUAACGGCUUACCAAGGCAACGAUGCAUAGCCGACCUGAGAGGGUGAUCGGCCACACUGGAACUGAGACACGGUCCAGACUCCUACGGGAGGCAGCAGUAGGGAAUCUUCCGCAAUGGGCGAAAGCCUGACGGAGCAACGCCGCGUGAGUGAUGAAGGUCUUCGGAUCGUAAAACUCUGUUAUUAGGGAAGAACAUAUGUGUAAGUAACUGUGCACAUCUUGACGGUACCUAAUCAGAAAGCCACGGCUAACUACGUG